ACACCUAUCUUUUCCCUUUCACAUUUCAUCUCUCAUUUCUCUCAUUUCUCUCAUUCUGUAAAGAACCAGAAGCCAUACACCACCUGCCAUCAACCUUACCACCUUGAUGAGAUUUACAGAUCUUCAAACCCAGCAAAUCAUGUUCACAGACGUCGAACUCAACCCAGCCAUGGGACAUGACACUGCACUGUUGCACCAUCAUUGUUCAAGGAGUUUUUUGGCGAGUUUCACCGUUUCUAACAUAGGCGUUUUGGUGAAGGUUUAUAACAAAACCGACAUGGGGGAAGAAAUUCUCCAGAUUUCUAGCAAGAACCCAUGACCAUUUGGCCACCUUCAGAUCAUUUUUCCGGCCAACGUCGAUGAUAACUUGGCCCCAAUUUGGAUUUAGUGGCAGUGCUUGUGUUGACGAGGAUUUCUGGCAAACACUGAUAUUGGACUACUUCCAAUGAGGCGGAUCCACAGUGGGGUCAAUGGGGUCGCACGACCUCUUGGAAGCCAUGGAAAUAACCUUGGAGCUGCACACCAUAUGGUUGACGAAAUGUCUGAAAGAAGAAGAAGGAGUUCGCUUGCAGAUUGAAGAAGAAUGAGGCUGCCUUUGUUCCAAACUCUAAGUUCCAAACUCAAUCCCCCCCAAACCCUCAACUCCAUCCCAGGCUGUUGAGUAUCAUGUUAUGAACUGCUGUUGGUGCUAAGCAUUAGGUUAAAUGCAUUAGAUAUGUGAUUCUUUUAUUAUUCACAGAAUACUGCUGAAUACUGCACCAACCCCCUUUUUAGCUUCCAUUAUGAGUAAUUGUUUUGUAGGUUGUAAAUAGAAUAAGUGAGCAAACUAUUGAGGAACUUCAGUUUGAGCAAACACCUGAAGCAGUUUCAAGGGGUGUCACUGGAUUGUGUAGUGAUGCCACUGCUGGGUUGUUCUAUGCAUAUGAUCAAAACUCUGUAUUUCAUGUUUGUGUCUUCGAUUGCCUAAAUAUUUUCUGAAUUUAGUUCAGUUUGCAUCAGACAAUAAUGUUUUCCAUACUGCUGAAUUUGAGAACAUAAUGUAGGUGUCUGUUAAUGAUGAAGGCCGAGACAUGUGGAAAGUUUACCUAGACAUGAAGGAGUAUGCUGCUGCUUUGGCAAAUUGCCGCGACCCACUUCAGAGGGACCAAGUAUAUUUGGUGCAGGCUGAAGCUGCAUUUGCUGCCAAGGAUUAUCUUAGAGCAUCAUCUUUCUAUGCAAAAGUGAAUUCUCUAUUUCCUUGAUCUGUUUUCCCAUAUAUUUAUUGCAAUAAUGCCUACAGGUGCAGUAGGCCAUUUGUUGUUUA